CGUUCGUAGUUGAAUUUGUGCUUCAUACGGGUAGUACAACUACAAUUGUGGAUUGUACAUUACCUUAUGUAUGCAAGCGUAUUAUCGGUGGAGUUCUAAUAUAUAAUGGUACUUGUAUCAUUAUAUAUACCUCCUAUUUAAACCUGCUUCAGUGCUCUUCAUCGAGUGCUGUUGUGGGCCGAUACAAUUACUUUGAACAAAUUAGAGUGCUUAAAGCAGGCUCCAAAUGCCUGAAUAUUCUGUGCAUGGAAUAAUGAAAUAAGACUUCUGAUCUACUUUCAUUGGUUUUUAGAUCAAGAGGUAAUGAUUAAUAGAAGCAGUUUGGGGACAUUAGUAUUACGACGCGAGAGGU
rnacentral:rRNA from 2 species